rnacentral:rRNA from 1 species
AUUGAACGCUGGCGGCAUGCCUUACACAUGCAAGUCGAACGGCAGCACGGGAGCAAUCCUGGUGGCGAGUGGCGAACGGGUGAGUAAAGUAUCGGAACGUGCCCGGUCGUGGGGGAUAACGUAGCGAAAGUUACGCUAAUACCGCAUACGAUCUAUGGAUGAAAGCGGGGGAUCGCAAGACCUCGCGCGAUUGGAGCGGCCGAUAUCAGAUUAGGUAGUUGGUGGGGUAAAGGCUCACCAAGCCGACGAUCUGUAGCUGGUCUGAGAGGACGACCAGCCACACUGGGACUGAGACACGGCCCAGACUCCUACGGGAGGCAGCAGUGGGGAAUUUUGGACAAUGGGCGCAAGCCUGAUCCAGCCAUGCCGCGUGCAGGAUGAAGGCCUUCGGGUUGUAAACUGCUUUUGUACGGAACGAAAAGGUUUGGCCUAAUAAGCUGAGCUCAUGACGGUACCGUAAGAAUAAGCACCGGCUAACUACGUGCCAGCAGCCGCGGUAAAAC